UACGGGGGGAGCAAGCGUUGUUCGGAUUUACUGGGCGUAAAGGGCGCGUAGGCGGCCUCUGCAAGUCGACUGUGAAAUCUCCGGGCUUAACCCGGAAAGGUCAGCCGAUACUGCAGGGCUAGAGUGCAGAAGGGGCAACUGGAAUUCUCGGUGUAGCGGUGAAAUGCGUAGAUAUCGGGAGGAACACCGGUGGCGAAGGCGGGUCUCUGGGCAGUAACUGACGCUGAGGAGCGAAAGCGUGGGGAGCGAACAGG
rnacentral:rRNA from 1 species